rnacentral:rRNA from 1 species
UACGUAGGGUGCAAGCGUUAAUCGGAAUUACUGGGCGUAAAGCGUGCGCAGGCGGCUUUGCAAGACAGAUGUGAAAGCCCCGGGCUUAACCUGGGAAUUGCAUUGGAUACUGGCAAGCUAGAGUGCGGUAGAGGAUGGCGGAAUUCCCGGUGUAGCAGUGAAAUGCGUAGAUAUCUGGAGGAACACCGGUGGCGAAGGCGGAUCUCUGGGCCGUAACUGACGCUGAGGAGCGAAAGCAUGGGUAGCGAACAGG